GAUGAACGCUGGCGGCGUGCCUAACACAUGCAAGUCGAGCGAACGGACGAGACGCUUGCUUCUCUGAUGUUAGCGGCGGACGGGUGAGUCACACGAGGAUAACCUACCUAUAAGACUGGGAUAAGUUAGCGAACCCUUAUCCAACACGGGAUAAGAUUUUGAACGGCAGGGUUCAACAGUGAAAGACGUUCUUGCUGACACUAAUAGAUGUUACCGCGCUGCAUUAGCUAGUUGGUAAGGUAACGGCGUACCAAGGCGACGAUGCAUAGCUGACCUGAGAGGAUGAUCAGCCACACUGGAACUGAGACACGGUCCAGACUCCUACGGGAGGCAGCAGUGGGGAAUCUUGGGCAAUGGGCGAAAGCCUGACGGAGCAACGCCGCGUGAGUGAUGAAGGUCUUCGGAUCGUAAAGCUCUUUUAUUAGGGAGGAACAUAUGUGUGAGUAAAUGUGCCCAUCUUGACGGUACCUACACAAAAAGCACCGGCUAACUACGUG
rnacentral:rRNA from 1 species